rnacentral:other from 1 species
AAUGCGCCUGCAUCUCGCGCUCCCGCGCGGAUCCCGGGAGCGUCCGGGCCGCCGUGCGCGAGCGAGGGCGGGGGCGCGCGCGCGGGGGGCGCGUUCUUGAGUGCGGGCCGCGCGCUCGGUGGCGCGCAUGUGCCUGUGUGCGGGCUGCCGGGCUGCCCCGAGCCGGCGGGGAGCCGGUCCGCUCCAGGUGGCGGGCGGCCGGAGCGAGGUGAGGCUACAGG